rnacentral:piRNA from 1 species
UGCAGCCUACUCUUUGACAAGAUUAUG